GUCCAACCUGGGUUGGGUUUUAUGGCUCCAAACUAUGGGUGUGUCACCAUGCAGGAAGUAGUGGGAAAACCGAGGGAGGGGCAGAGGAAAAAAGGAGGGUGGAGAACUGUGUUUAGUGAGUGCCUACUGGAUGCUGGGAGUUGCAUACAGGCGUUACCAUAUUUAAAUUAAACCUUGAGAUGAAGGGACUGAAGGACAGAGAGAAAUUGCAUGCCUGGAGUCUCACUGCUAGUACAUAGAGGUGUUAUCUUCCUUUCAUCUAACAUAUUUAUUGAGCACCUACUAUGUACCAGGCCUUGUGCUAGACUCUGGGGAUAUGGAAAUGAGCAAAGUAGAUGUACCCCCGAAACUUGUGGACUAAUGGAGGAGACGGACCUUAAUCAGAUCGUCAUUCAAAGAUACUAUUACAAACUGUUCUGAGAGCCGAGGAAGCAGGAAGGAGCUGUGAGAGACUGAGCUCUAACCUUGGCCAUCAAAGACAAGCUGUGCAGCUCUGGUUUUUUGAGGGCAGGACAUGGAGGGUCAGGCCCAGCUGGAGGCGCACCAAAGCCCAGAGAAAAUUCAGAACCACGUGAACUUGUUGGAUUUCAGCCCCUUGAAGCACAUGUUGCUAUUGCAGCUGCCUUGAUAACUGGGGGGACAGGAGGAGCACGGCUUUCCCAUCUUGUACGGGGACUCGCCAAUCCAGUUGCCCCUGGAAGAGAAAAGGACCCAGGGAGACAGAGGAGCAUUAGGACUCAUUCAAUCAUUUAGUCAUUCAACAAACACUUCUGGAGCACCUAUUGAACAUCAGGAUUUGUGCCGGCUGCUGUCAGUCCACAGUUCUCAAAAGGUGCUCUCAGAAGUUUGGGGGCGGGGAGAGUGGGUGGUGGUGAUACCUGGGAUGACAUGGAGUUCUUUUUUUGUUUAAUUUAACCACUUAGAAAAAAGUUCUGCUUAAAAAAACAAAGGAUUGCAAUCACUAUAGUAGAAGGAUAUAGAAAUGAAAACGGUCGAUUUCCCAUGCCCAAGAGUUUAUAACUUGGUUCUAGUCAUGGCCACCAUUUAUUUAGCAUGUACUAUGGGCAAGGCACCACAGAGGCUAUUUUUAUUUUAUUUUAUUUUAUUUUAUUUUAUUUUAUUUUAUUUAUUUUAUUUUAUUUUA
rnacentral:lncRNA from 1 species